rnacentral:rRNA from 1 species
UACGAAGGGGGCUAGCGUUGUUCGGAUUUACUGGGCGUAAAGCGCACGUAGGCGGAUCGUUAAGUCGGGGGUGAAAUCCUGGAGCUCAACUCCAGAACUGCCUUCGAUACUGGCGAUCUUGAGUCCGGAAGAGGUGAGUGGAACUCCUAGUGUAGAGGUGGAAUUCGUAGAUAUUCGCAAGAACACCAGUGGCGAAGGCGGCUCACUGGUCCGGUACUGACGCUGAGGUGCGAAAGCGUGGGGAGCAAACAGG